rnacentral:lncRNA from 1 species
AACAAUUUUAAAAAUAUGGCUUCAUAAAGUUUAGCAACAAUAAAAUAGGAAGUUAAAGUUUCCCUUUUUCGAACUCGGUCAAUAAACAACAAACAACAAGAAUAGAUCACGGUGAGAUUUCCAUGAUAGCAAACUACUCAGAAGUCCACUAGAAAUCUUGAAUGCAGCAAGAUAGCUAAACUGAACCAAAUAUAUUGUGGAGGAAAGAGGGGAAAAACCAAAACUUUCUGGAAAUAAAUUGUGUUGAUGAAUUAUAGUUUACUAAAAAAAUAUCCCUUUGCUCUCCAAAUAAUUAAGCAAUUAAUCAGAACCACAAACUUCUCUCAAACACAUCAGGUUGAGCAGGUUUUUGUGAGAUUCGAUAUCAGCUUCUUAGUUGUGGUUUGUCUUUUGAAUUAGG